rnacentral:rRNA from 1 species
GACGUAGGGCGCGAGCGUUGUCCGGAUUUAUUGGGCGUAAAGAGCUCGUAGGCGGCUUGUCGCGUCGACUGUGAAAACCCGCGGCUCAACCGUGUGGCGGGCAGUUGAUACGGGCAGGCUAGAGUUCGGUAGGGGAGACUGGAAUUCCUGGUGUGAGCGGUGAAAUGACGCAGAUAUCAGGAGGAACACCGGUGGCGAAGGCGGGUCUCUGGGCCGAUACUGACGCUGAGGAGCGAAAGCGUGGGGAGCGAACAGG